GACACACACACCUCACUCUCUCCCUCCAGCCGUUCGUCUCCGGCUGCAGGACGCCAUCGCUGUGAGGAGCCGCCGCCUCAACCAGUCACGCCACCAUGAGGUCUAUGGGAGGCCCUUCCUCAGAGGAAGCUCCGCCCCCGUUCUUCUCCAUCACCAGCCGGCGAGUCCAGGACGAGUUCCUGAAAGAGCGCCAGAGGAGGCUGGAGUCCCAGAGCGACGCCUCCUCCCCGCUAAGCUCCUCCCCUUCCUCCUCCUGCUCCCCCCUCCGCUCCCCCUCCCCGUAUGCUCCGCC